CAAGAUUUGUUUUCAAAAUAACUAAUGGUUGUGUGCCCUUGGGCAAGUUACUUGACCUCACUGAGCCUCCUGGGUAAAGUGGACAUGAAGUAAAAAGAAGCAUUCCUUUCUAAACUUUGUUCCGUGUGAUUAGACUGUAAGGAAACUUACCUAUAUUAUUUUUCUAGAUCUAAACAAAUCUCAUUUUCAGAGUUGUUGAGAAAUCUACUAUCAGUUGUUAUUGGAGUGGGAGAGAGGCACGGGCUACAGACAGCAGUCAUGCUGGGCUAACACAGUCUGGAAAAUGUGGGGAAGAGCCUCUGUUCUUCAGUCAAUUAUGGUAGCCACUGAGUUGUCCACUGUCCACCUGGACUGUCCAAAGGUGGGCAGCUUCUCUGCUCACAGUGCCAUCACCUCUCUGUGCCCUGCCUUGCUCUCAGUGCCUUUAACGCAUCUCCCAAUACCACAGAACAGGGGUCAGGACCCCUGCAGCCAUGCUGCAUCUUCUCCCUGUCUCUGCUAAUGAGGUUUGAUUUCAGAUUUCUAUCACUCUCCCAUUGUCCUAUCCCCAUUAGAUCUCAAAGAAUCUCAUCUCUCUCCUCUAGUUAUUCAACUCUUACUCCUCCAACCCUUGGAGACUUUCUACUUUGGAUCAAUCCAGCUACAUAUUUUGAUGGACCUAGACUACAGAUCAGAAUGGACUUGAACAUGAUGGCAAAGGUCAACAACCUUUCCAGUCUUCUGGAAUGCAAGAUGAACUGGAUUCUCAAGACUCUGGAGAAAUGUAAUGCUGGGAACAACUUGGGAAGAUUGGGUCCAACUUCCAUUUGUAGAUUCAUAUAAUUCAUUAAGUUCAAAUAUUGAAAGAACAAAAGGAAGAAAGAAAUAAAGUUGGGUUCUUGAAAUCUGUAAUAAUAGCCCUUAAGUGGUGUUUUUGCUGCUUCAAACUUCAGAUCCUCCACAGAUGUGCUGGAAAGUGAAUAUGCAAGUCCUGCACACAUUCUGCUCUGUUCCCACCUCCUACCUUGCUGUGCUCCACUAUUCCAGGACACACUAGGCAAAGGAGAGAGGCUUGGAGGUGAGCCUGGAGGGACAGCUCUAAGCUAGAGUUACAGCAAAGGAACCAGGCAAGAGGAGGAAUGGGGAGCUUUAUGAAAUUUCUAUUUCUAGGACAUGUAGGUUUUAGCAAUCAUUACUAUUUUUGUUAAGCAGCCACAUCAAUGUUUCCUUUUGAUUUCUUAAGAUUUUAUUUAUGUCUACAGAUAAAAGAAUCCAGCUUAAUUUAUUCAUGGUGUGAAAUCAAGUUCCCCCCAUGAAUAUUCUCCUUCUAGUUCCAUAUUUAGCAU
rnacentral:lncRNA from 1 species